rnacentral:ribozyme from 1 species
AGGCAAACGGGUUCGAUACCCCGCGCUGGGCCCGAGCAAUGGCGUUCGGCGGAAUUUUCUACCCGUUACCCGCACAUCUUCACUACAAUUUCCUCGAAGCCAUGGUGAAGAGGAUGGG